ACCUGGUUAUAUUGAGAACUGCAAGCAAGCCUCUUUCCAUCAGCUCUGUAGCAUGUGCCUCAUUCGGAAUCCAGCCCUCCAUUUAUAACAAUACUCUGCUUAAUGUAUAAAUUAAGAUGAUGCCAAAGACCAACAAUUUCUGAGAUCACACAUUAGGAAUAGUCGUCAAGAAGGAUCAGGACCUGUCAUUAGGCAGAGUGAAGUCACCUCAGGCAGAAGAUUUUGGAUGUGAUGAAAGGGCAGCAAACGGAGACAGGCCAGCUGUGAUCACCCAGAGCAUGUGUGGCUGAUGAGUUUAUGUGCUCUUACACCUGUGAGGCCUUGGGCAACCUGCAUAGUCCCAGAGCACCCCCAAAAGGAGAGAGAGAUCAAGCACCUCUGAGUACUUUAUACCUAGGAAACCCUUGGAGGGUUGCCUUAUGUUGGAACUGACCUG